CCUACGGGUGGCAGCAGUGGGGAAUAUUGCGCAAUGGGCGAAAGCCUGACGCAGCGACGCCGCGUGCGGGAUGAAGGUCUUCGGAUCGUAAACCUCUGUCAGCACGGAAGAACGGUCACUGUGCUAAUCAGCAGUGCAUUGACGGUACCUGCAAAGGAAGCACCGGCUAACUCCGUGCCAGCCGCCGCGGUAAUACGGAGGGUGCGAGCGUUACUCGGACUUACUGGGCGUAAAGCGCUCGUAGGCGGUAUGUCAAGUCAAGGGUGAAAUCCCCGCGCUCAACGUGGGAACUGCCUUUGAAACUGGAAAACUGGAGUGUGUGAGAGGAUAGUGGAAGUCCAGGUGUAGGAGUGAAAUCCGUAGAUAUCAGGAGGAACAUCAGUGGCGAAGGCGACUAUCUGGCACACAACUGACGCUGAGGAGCGAAAGUGUGGGUAGCAAACAGGAUUAGAUACCCUAGUAGUC
rnacentral:rRNA from 1 species